rfam:Perkinsus marinus ATCC 50983 gcontig_1104296300174, whole genome shotgun sequence.
GGGCAUGUGGUGUAGGGGCAUCACGUCUGCUUCGCAUGCAGAAGGCCCCGGGUUCAAUUCCCGGCAUGUCCA